CUAAAAUAUGCAGGCCUAAUAAUUUCCACGAUUUCUUAUGCUUUGCCUCUCGAUAAGCGCAUGCGCACACACAGCAUACCCAUCCCCCACCCCUGACUGACUUUUCAACGAACUCCUUGCCACUGGUGGUGACUUCAACCGUCACUUUUCUGUCAUGCAUCUGACUGCAAGCUGUACAAACUCUGCUGUCAUCAUAUCCAAGGCAGUGAGUUGUGAGGACUGCUUCCCUGAGAACACUGAGUGCAUUCUGGAAUAUUCCAAAUGUGUGCCACUUCCAUACAAAAGAAGUUUCAAUCCCGCAAGAGAGUUCACUCACCAGUGGGCUCCAUCAACAGACCAGGGCAAAGUCGGUCUGUCCUGCUACUACUACAUGCUACUUGACUAUGUCUGGAAGCCAUGGCUGCUGCCCUCAACAUGCUAAACUGAAACCCUCACAAAUAAACUGAUAUCAAUAAUUAACAUUGAUGGUGAUGGUGGCGAGGGUGCCUUCAUAAGGUGUCAUCCAGCAAGUCCCAGCCUGGAGCCAGAGGCUGGCACUGCACGUCAGAUGGGGGAGGAUCUAUGUUAGGCAUCAGAAAGGUGGUUUAAGCACCUCUAAGAGCUUCUGCAGACAGUGUUGCAAUUAGACACCUGACUUUUACUGCCAAAGGGACCAUCAGAGCACCUCUCCCUACCAUCUAUACCAGAAGAGUACGGACAAGGGCCCAAAAUGUUUUAAAGGACGUUGCAAGCCCAGACCAUGAACUGUUUAAACCACUGUGGUCAAGCAGAAGUCUCUGUUCUCACUCGAGGCAGGUCAUUGAGAGGGGGCGAGUGUCACUGCGAAAGCCCCCUACUGCAGGCGAGAAAGCCAUGUUGAUUUGAAUAUUGAUUGAUAAAUACAAUAAAGGCCAUGUAACAAAUUUUAUUGCCUGUCGUACAGUAUAUUUUUCAUGGUAAAGUAAAAUAAGUCAUUGGGAUUUAGCAGGUGUAAGUAAAUAAUGUAAUUAAGUGUAUGUAAAAUUAAUGUGAAAUAUUAUUUAAGUUAAAGAUGCACAAUAAGCUCAGUGAUGGUUAUGUACUAUCUCACAUUUAAA